rnacentral:rRNA from 1 species
AGAGUUUGAUCCUGGCUCAGGACGAACGCUGGCGGCGUGCCUAACACAUGCAAGUCGAACGGCCCGCCCCGUUGGAUCCCUUCGGGGAGAAGACGGGUUCCCGGGCAGUGGCGGACGGGUGAGUAACGCGUGGAGAACCUGUCUCUCAGUUGGGGAUAACCUGGCGAAAGUCGGGCUAAUCCCGAAUACGCUCUUGAGGUGGCAUCACUUUGGGAGGAAAGGUGCUUUCGGGCAUCGCUGAGAGGUGGCUCCGCGUCGGAUUAGCUAGCUGGUGGGGUAACGGCUCACCAGGGCGACGAUCCGUAGCUGGUCUGAGAGGAUGAUCAGCCACACUGGGACUGAGACACGGCCCAGACUCCUACGGGAGGCAGCAGUGGGGAAUCUUCCGCAAUGGGCGAAAGCCUGACGGAGCAACGCCGCGUGAACGAAGAAGGCCUUCGGGUCGUAAAGUUCUGUCCUCAGGGAAGAACCCUCAUGGGAGGAAAUGCCCAUGAGCUGACGGUACCUGGGAAGGAAGCCCUGGCUAACUACGUGCCAGCAGCCGCGGUAAU